rnacentral:rRNA from 1 species
GAGUUUGAUCAUGGCUCAGAUUGAACGCUGGCGGCAUGCUUUACACAUGCAAGUCGAACGGUAACAGGGAGCUUGCUCCGCUGACGAGUGGCGAACGGGUGAGUAAUGCGUCGGAACGUGCCGAGUAGUGGGGGAUAACGCAUCGAAAGGUGUGCUAAUACCGCAUACGAACUGAGGUUGAAAGUGGGGGACCUUCGGGCCUCACGCUAUUCGAGCGGCCGACGUCUGAUUAGCUAGUAGGUGAGGUAAAGGCUCACCUAGGCGACGAUCAGUAGCGGGUCUGAGAGGAUGAUCCGCCACACUGGGACUGAGACACGGCCCAGACUCCUACGGGAGGCAGCAGUGGGGAAUUUUGGACAAUGGGCGCAAGCCUGAUCCAGCCAUGCCGCGUGUCUGAAGAAGGCCUUCGGGUUGUAAAGGACUUUUGUCUGGGAGCAAAUACCCGGUGUUAAUAGCGCCGGGGGCUGAGAGUACCAGAAGAAUAAGCACCGGCUAACUACGUGCCAGCAGCCGCGGUA